rnacentral:rRNA from 1 species
UGGGGAAUAUUGCACAAUGGGGGAAACCCUGAUGCAGCGACGCCGCGUGAACGAAGAAGGUAUUCGUAUCGUAAAGUUCUGUCCUAUGGGAAGAUAAUGACAGUACCAUAGAAGAAAGCUCCGGCUAAAUACGUGCCAGCAGCCGCGGUAAUACGUAUGGAGCGAGCGUUGUCCGGAAUUAUUGGGCGUAAAGGGUACGCAGGCUGUUUAAUAAGUUGAAUGUGAAAGAACAGGGCUCAACCCCGCAAAGCAAUGGAAACUGAUAAAGUUGAAGAGUGGAGAGGAAGGGAGAAUUCCUAGUGUAGUGGUGAAAUACGUAGAUAUUAGGAGGAAUACCAGUAGCGAAGGCGACUUUCUGGACACAAACUGACGCUGAGGUACGAAAGCGUGGGGAGCAAAAAGG